GAUGAACGCUGACAGAAUGCUUAACACAUGCAAGUCAACUUGAACUUCGGUUUGGGUGGCGGACGGGUGAGUAACGCGUAAAGAACUUGCCUCACAGAUAGGGACAACAUUUGGAAACGAAUGCUAAUACCUGAUAUUAUGAUUAUAUGGCAUCGUAUAAUUAUGAAAGCUAUAUGCGCUGUGAGAGAGCUUUGCGUCCCAUUAGCUAGUUGGAGAGGUAACGGCUCACCAAGGCGAUGAUGGGUAGCCGGCCUGAGAGGGUGAUCGGCCACAAGGGGACUGAGACACGGCCCUUCCUCCUACGGGAGGAAGCGGUGGGAAAUAUUGGACAAUGGACCAACGGUCUGAUCCGGCAUUUCUGUGUGAACGAUGAAGUUUUUCGGAAUGUAAGGUGCUUCCAGUUGGGAAGAAAAAACGGACGGUACCAACAGAAGAAGUAACGGCUAAAUCCGU
rnacentral:rRNA from 1 species